ACAGAGGGUUCAGAGGCUGGACAUUCAGAAAAGGUUAUUCUGCUGCAAGGGGAACCUGGGAGGACUGUCCCCCGGUGUCUGCAGAGCACUGUAGACCCCACCCUCAAUCACCACCUUCAGAAGCCUCCCCUCCUGACCACAGCCACUCUCAGAAAUCACGUCUUCCAGUCUUUUCUUUCAGGAAUCGUCAUCAGAGGACAUGAGGGGGACUCCAGGGCCCCUUCAUCUGUGAAAAAGCGGCCCAGGGCAUUUGCUCCUAUGGACAAAAGAGUGGGACCCCUCCAGCAGUCUUCAUGAAGGUCUCACACUACUUGCCCUGGAUAAAGAGAACAAUGAAGUGUUUCUCAUAGCAGAGUUCCCGUGGUCCCAUGUGAAUUCUCC
rnacentral:lncRNA from 1 species